rnacentral:rRNA from 1 species
CAGUAGGGAAGAAGCGAAAGUGACGGUCCCUGCAGAAGAAGCGCCGGCUAACUACGUGCCAGCAGCCGCGGUAAUACGUAGGGCGCAAGCGUUAUCCGGAAUUAUUGGGCGUAAAGAGCUCGUAGGCGGUUUGUCGCGUCUGCUGUGAAAGACCGGGGCUCAACUCCGGUUCUGCAGUGGGUACGGGCAGACUAGAGUGCAGUAGGGGAGACUGGAAUUCCUGGUGUAGCGGUGAAAUGCGCAGAUAUCAGGAGGAACACCGAUGGCGAAGGCAGGUCUCUGGGCUGUAACUGACGCUGAGGAGCGAAAGCAUGGGGAGCGAACAGGAUUAGAUACCCUGGUAGUCCAUGCCGUAAACGUUGGGCACUAGGUGUGGGGGACAUUCCACGUUUUCCGCGCCGUAGCUAACGCAUUAAGUGCCCCGCCUGGGGAGUACGGCCGCAAGGCUAAAACUCAAAGGAAUUGACGGGGGCCCGCACAAGCGGCGGAGCAUGCGGAUUAAUUCGAUGCAACGCGAAGAACCUUACCAAGGCUUGACAUGAACCGGUAAUACCUGGAAACAGGUGCCCCGCUUGCGGUCGGUUUACAGGUGGUGCAUGGUUGUCGUCAGCUCGUGUCGUGAGAUGUUGGGUUAAGUCCCGCAACGAGCGCAACCCUCGUUCUAUGUUGCCAGCGGUUCGGCCGGGGACUCAUAGGAGACUGCCGGGGUCAACUCGGAGGAAGGUGGGGACGACGUCAAAUCAUCAUGCCCCUUAUGUCUUGGGCUUCACGCAUGCUACAAUGGCCGGUACAAAGGGUUGCGAUACUGUGAGGUGGAGCUAAUCCCAAAAAGCCGGUCUCAGUUCGGAUUGGGGUCUGCAACUCGACCCCAUGAAGUCGGAGUCGCUAGUAAUCGCAGAUCAGCAACGCUGCGGUGAAUACGUUCCCGGGCCUUGUACACACCGCCCGUCAAGUCACGAAAGUUGGUAACACCCGAAGCCGGUGGCCUAACCCUUGUGGGGGGAGCCGUCGAAGGUGACCCGUCAGG